CUAGUGCAGUGUAGAACCCUUUUCUCAGGCAAAACCUAACAUCUGACCGCACCCUUUUUGCUAUUAAAAAAAAAAAAAAGCUUCUAUUUUUUUCCUCCUGUCGUUAAGAUAAAUUCUCCAGUAGACAACCUCUCCCACUAAUUGUGUAUUAGCAACGUAUUUUAUCUUGAGAGCUUGUACACUGGGCUCUCAACGUGGUGUGGAAGGUAGCCUGUUACAGUGCUGGAUUCAUAAAAGGGCCUUUAUGGUUUGUGAAAGAAUAUCUGUGUGCUUAGGGAGGAAACUUUUUGAUCUGCAGAAAAGCCAGAAGACAUCUAGGACAUCCAUAAAAAUUCAUCAGAGAGCAUUUUACUACUGAGCUGCAAAGGGAAAAACUUAAAAUGGAUAUGAAAAGUGAAGAAAGUGAUCAUAGGAGAAAACCAUUUCAGAUGACAAGAGCACCUCAAAGGCAGCAGCCUCAAGGAGCAGCCAUGGCCCCAGACUUGUCGCACGGAUGCAGAAAACUUAAUGGAGGAGGCUGAGCAAAACAGAGCGUGACACUCCCAAUCAUCUGCAUGCUGGAAAUGAGGAAAUGGUUAUUGAAUGAUACAAGUGCUUUUCGAUCAUUUAGAAAGUUCUGUUUCCCAAGAUCUUUUUUUUUUUUUUUUUUUUUGAGACGGUGUCUUGCUCUGUCACCCAGGCUGGAGUGCAGUGGCGCGAUCUCGGCUCACCACAACCUCCACCUCCUGGGUUCAAGCGAUUCUCCUGCCUCAGCCUCCCGCGUGGCUGAGACUACAGGCAUGUGCCACCAUGCCCGGCUAAUUUUUGUAUUUUUAGUAGAGACAGGGUUUCACUAUGUUGGCCAGGCUGGUCUCAAACUCCUGACCUCGUGAUCCGCCCGCCUUGGACUCCCAAAGUGCUGGGAUUACAGUUGUGAGCCACUGUGCCCGGCCUAGCAAGAUCACUUUUUAAGUAUCCAGAAAGCUCUUUCUUAUGUUGAAUUAUGUCCAGAGGCAUAACUAGACUGAAGGUUUAGACUCCAUUCAUUCUCCUAUGUUUUUGUUCUUAACUGCAUUCUGCAGUCAAAUCAGGAGCUUUAGAAAAUACUGAUGCCUGGCUCUCAACCAGAGAGAACUGAACUGAAUUGGUCUGGUGAAUUCAUUAAAAGAGCUAACAACAAUGAAGUUAAUGUACGCAUCUCACCUCUCAAGAGUAUUAACAGGCCAGGCGUGUUGGCUCAUACCUGUAAUCCCAGCACUUUGGGAGGCCAAGGCGGGCGGAUCACCCAAGGUAAGUUCAAGACCAGCCUGACCAACAUGGUGAAACCCCGUCUCUAUUAAAAAUACAAAAUUAGCCAGGCAUGGUGGUGCAUCCCUGUAAUCCCAGCUACUCGGCACCUGAGGCACAAGAAUUGCUUGAACCCGGGAGGCAGAGGUUGCGGUGAGCUGAGAUCCUGCCAUUGUACUCCAGCGUGGGCAACAAGAAUGAAACUCUGUCUCAAAAAAAUAAAUAAAUAAAAAUAAGUAUUAACACAUGGGAAAUCAUAAAGUUUUCAUUCUGAGCAGUGUGUCUUUGAAUGUUUUGACCACGCAGAGAUGGGAUUAUCAUGGUAAAAUCCACUCUAUGGAUUUACCAUAAUCUUGGUGGUAACGUGUUAACAGAAGCAAUAUUUAUUAUGAGAGUUAAAGUUUCAUUUGGUUUAGGUUCAUAUUUUCUUUCUCCUGUCAGUCUGCAAUGGCUCCCUAACAUAAUUCCAGAGAGCAUAUGAUGUGCUAGGCUCUGUGUAGGGGACAGGAGCACAGUGGUAAACCAACGUAAAGUUAGACUUCAUUUUAUAAAAUUACAUUUUUAAAACUUUUUACAUUUUUAGGAAAUACAUGUUAGCUAAAAAACUGUGUUUUGCUCCCUGCUACGUUUGCUUAUCCUAUCCUUCAUUACUCCUUGGAUUUUAGUCUAACUGGUCUUGGGACAUGCCUCUUCCCCACAAACACCCCCACCACCAUACCACAUUGCUGUGACACAUUUAGCUUGUUAAUGUGGUAAGAGUGGAGCUCACUUACAGAAUUUUUGCAGACUAGACCUUAGGCUACAGGUCUUUACCAUGGAGCAGAAAAGUGGUAUCUCAAACCUCAUCCACAAAGGUUGAUCUAGUCCAAGCCCCUCUCCAGGUUCAUGUCCAUGUACAGCUUUGUUCUUAUUGUAACAACCUACAUUUUAGAAUAGGCAACGAAGACCAUUACCAAGAGCAGUAGGAGGGGCAACCUUCGGCUGUUUGUUUUUCAGGAUCUCAACUUGUGAACUUACUCUUCUCUUCACAGAAUGGGAUAACUGCCUGGCACUCACCAAGCUACACUUGAAGAGGAUCAAUCCAUGUCAUCAUGUCCCCAAUUUCAUAGCACCAAGUAUUUUGUUUAUUCACAAAUGCCCUAUUAUGGACAUCUAGCAAACAAUGAUACAUCAGAAAAGGAGAUGUGCAUAAAUUUUCAUGGAAUAAGGUAUAAAGCCCAACUCUCAAUACAUACUAAUCAUAACAGGAGUCUAAGAAAUAUUCUGAAAUAAAUGGGAAUGCAGAAUGUGUCAGGCCUCUGAGCCCAAGCUAAGCCAUCAUAUCCCCUGUGACCAGCACGUACACAUCCAGAUGGCCGGUUCCUGCCUUAACUGAUGACAUUCCACCACAAAAGAAAUUAAAAUGGCCUGUUCUUGCCUUAACUGAUGACAUUAUCUUGUGAAAUUCCUUCUCCUGGCUCAUCCUGGCUCAAAAGCUCCCCAACUGAGCAUCUUGUGACCCCCACUCUUGCCUGCCAGAGAACAACCCCACUUUUUCCUUUACCUACCCAAAUCCUAUAAAACAGCCCCACCGGAUGCGCAUGAAAGAAUGUGCCACAGAAAAUGAGACACAUCAAUGAGGGUUGUGGAAAAUGCACUAGAAUCAACAAACAUGGGGACUAAUUCAACUCGGAUAUCAUGUCUUCAGAGAAGUUUCUCCUGCCCUCCUCUCCCUGUAGAAUUAAGUAUUCUUCCACUGUGCCACCCUCUAACUUGUGCUCAUAUCUUCCUCUAUUGUAGUUAUGUGUUCACAUCCCUGUUGUUUUUGUACCGGCUUCUCCCAAAGGGAGACAUUUAGUCUUAUUCUUCUUGGUAACUUUAGCACAGACCUGGCAGAUUGUUGACACUCAACAAAUGUUUAUUGACUCAAAUGCAUUCAGUUGAACAUUGACCUUUGAUCAACUCUGGGAAAAGUCUGCAAAGCUAGUUAGGACAUUCAGAAAUUCAUUUCAUUUCAAUCCUAACUAAAUAAAUUAUUGAAGUCUCAGAACUUCUCAGUACUUGAUUUAGACACAUAGAAACUUGGGUAAAUAACACCUAUAUUGUUAUAUUCCUCAAGAAAAAGUUUAUCUUUUCAUGAAAUGAAUCUACUGAGGAUAUUUAUAGAAACUGAAUGUAAGUGAGCAGAAUAAAGUGGUGUGUGUGUGUGUGUGUGUGUGUGUGUAUGUAAUUUGAAGAGUAGGUGGGAGAAGGUUGUGAUAGGAUAGCAGAUCUUGUUUAUGAUAGUCACCAGCUAUAACAGACACUGCCUGAUGCCUUUCCAAUAUCCACUUCCCUUUUCUUUUUUUUCUUUUUGGAACAGAGUCUCACUCUGUCCCCCAGGCUGGAGUGCAACAGCACGAUCUCGGCUUACUGCAUCCUCUGCCUCCUGGGUUCAAGCAAUUCUCAUGCCUCAGCCUCCCUAGUAGCUGGGAUUACAGGCUCUCGCCACCACGCCCAGCUAAUUUUUGUGUUUUUAGUAGAGACGGGGUUUCGCCAUGUUGGCCAGGCUAGUCUUGAACUCCUGACCUCAGGUGAUCCACCUGCCUCAGCCUCUCUAAGUGCUGGGAUUACAGGCGUGAGCCACCGUGCCUGGCUCUCUUUUCUUACUUAAUGUCUGUGUCAAUUAAAUAGAAAUGUAUCAAGUUAAAAACCUUGCCUCGGUAGCUUCCAGUGCAAAUAAAGGUACCCAUGCCACCCCAUUCUGGCCAGCAGUAAAAUUGAUGGAAGCCUCUGGUUGGGGCUUCAAGGAAAGCUUUAUCAAAAGAUAAACUCACUGGCUUUGUCCCUUAGUUCAGUGGUCCCCAACCUUUUUGGCACCAAGAGACCAGUUUUGUGGAAGACAAUUUUUUCCAUGGACCAGGAGGGUUCCGGGGGAUGGUUUUGGGAUGAAAAUGUUUCACCUUAGAUAUCAUCGGGCAUUCAAUUCUCAUAAGGAGCCUGCAACCUAGACCUCUCACAUGUGCAGUUCACAAUAGGGUUCAUGCUCCUAUGAGAAUCUAAUGCCACUGCUGAUCUGACAGGAGGCAGAGCUCAGGCAGUAAUGCUCACUAGUUCCGUUGCUCGCCUCCUGCUGUGCAGCCCAGUUCCUAACAGGACACAGACCAGUACUGGUUCGCAACCCAGGGUUUGGGGGCCCCUGUCUUAGUUCCUUUGCCUUCCUUCCAGAUGGAUGCCUGGAGGAACAAUCAUCCCGCAAUUGUGAAAAUUGAAGCCAUAUUUUAAAGUUGGUUUCAAUUGUAAUACAGAAGAAAUCUGGACCUUGAUGACAUUUGAGCUAGAGUACUAAUCUUGAUCUUCCUAUUCAUGAGCUUGUUGCAAGAGACAAGACUUUUACUGAUUUAACUCAUUGUUGGGAUUUCUUGGAACUAAACACAGUCAUAAUACAUUUUUUCCUUCCCAGGAAAAUGGUAGAGCAUGACUUUUCAAAUCUAAUAAAACUCAUGUGUAGCUAAAACCACUCUACUGAAACAAUUCCAUCUCAGCCCAUGGUACAAGGGAUUUUCCUGAAUGAAAAAUGGUGUCUGAUCAUUUUGUUGGUUUCUUUGUUGGUUUUUCCUGAAACUUAGGGUUAAAGAAUCCAGGAAAGUUGUCUUAGAUAGAGUUAUAAUUUCCGUGGACAUCAACUGAUAAAUGCAAUUACAGUUUGUAUGCCUAGGUUUGGCAAAAAUCAUAUAAGCAACAUCCCUCACAUAAUAUUGUUUUAAUUAAAUUUUAUUUCUUUCUUGGUAUGAAACAUACUGCAGAAGCACAAUCAAUGAACAUUGGAUAGUUUCCUUAAAUCUUGCUCUUUGUCCUAUUUAUAUAAUUUAUUGUGUCAGUGGUUCUCAAGUGGUAUGCUCCUGCAACUCAUCAUCUGAAAAUCCUUCCCAGAUGUGCUGAAAAAUUUUCAUUAAUUUGUAUAUUCUAUUUUAUUUUUAUAACUAAGUACACAUGCUUGUGACUGGAAGAGAAGACACCCCUCAUUUAAUCCCAGAGGAAUAUUUGGCCUUGAUUCAUGCCCUGCUCACUCCACCCCAUUAUUAAGAUAGAGAUCGCUGAAGAAAUCCCUGCUCUAUAAAUGUAGCUGAUCCAAAAACAAAAUGGAAAUUCAUUAUUUUAAAUAUUUCUACAAGAUCUUUGUACAACUCUAUUUUUUUUUCCUAUUAAGAAUUACAUGAUUCUAGAAUAAGUUCCAACCCUAAGUAUCAACACUGGAACACAAUUUUAAAACAGGAGGCGAUUAUCUCUAUAGUGAGAUUUAACUACAGAGGUGAUAGCUCUGGUUAGUGAAUUUCAGGACUAGAAAUCAGGCCUGCUGUCUCUUAGCUUAGAGGAGGUAUAAUAAGAAGAGGAUUAGAACUACUGUGUAUAUUAACAAGAAGAACUCUAUUAUGUUCAGCUAUCAUUAUAUAUGAUAUUAUGUUUCUUUUUAUGAACUAUAGUUCACUGUCUUUAAGCAUAAUGUUUGCCCAAGGUGGGGGUGUUGGUGUGUGUCUGUGUGUAUAUGCAUGUGUGCACAUGUGUGUAUGUAUAGUUGAUUCAUUCAUUCUGACCUACUGAAUUUACUGAAGGAAUAAGAAGAAAUACCUUGAACUGAGGGACCUGGCUUAGCUCAACAUCUGUACCAUCUACCUUUGAGUAUCCAUUCCUUUACUAUGAAGCAUGGAUGCUAAAACUAAAAUUGCAUUUGCUAAACUACUUUGUAGCUAGAUUCCUGGGUGAGAUUAGAUUUGGUCAAUUAGAUGUUCUUGUGUAACAUUUAGAAGGUGAUAGUAAGGCAAAGGUCAUGUGACUGGCUGAUUUUAUUUAUGUUCAAUGAUCUUUAUUGGGGUACACUUUAUAUAUAAUAAUAAAUAAUGCACACAUUUUAAGUGUACAAUUUGAUGAGUUCUGACAAAUUUAUAUGCAUGUAUAACCAGCAUCAAUAUCAAGAUAUAUAAUGAUCCCCUCAUUCCAGAAUAGUCUCUUGUGUUCUUUCCAGCCAAUGCCCCACCCCUGGAUUCUGGCAACAAUUGAUCUGCUUUUUAUUACCAUGGAUUAUAUUUGUCUUUCCUAGAGAUACAAAUAAAUGAAAUAAUGUAGUGUGUCCUCUUUAACUUUGGCUUAUUUCUCUCGGCACACUAUUUCUGAAAUUUGUCCAUACUGUUGAUAUGGCAGACAGAAUUUUAAGAUGGUUCCUAAAAUUCUUGCCUCCUGGUAUGUAUAAUUUUCUCUCGGUUUUCCGCUGAACACUAACCUAGGUGCUAUUGUAAAGGGAUUUCUCAAGUGUAAUUAAAGUCCCUAAUAAGUUUAUUUUAAGUUAGAAAAAUUUUCCCAGGUGAGCUUGAGCUAAGUGAGUGACCUAAGCAGGUGAGUUGUUAGAAAAAAAUUAAGAGAUAUUUGAAGCGUAGACAAAAUUCUGUUGGCUUUUAAAAGAAAACUUCCAUGUGAUAGAGAAAGCCAGAUGAUAGGGAACACAAGGUUACCUCUAAAUUGACAACCAGCAAAAAAGCUGAGACUUCAGUCUUAUCAUCAUAAGGAAUUGAAUUCUGUCAACAGCCACGUGACCUUAGAGGAGGCCCCUGAGCCGCAGAUGAGAUCAUGGCCCUGGCCAAUACCUUAAAUUCAUCCUGGUGAGAUAUGAGCAGAGAACUCAGCUAUGCCAUGCUCAGAUUUCUCACCUGUAGAGCAGUAAAUUAAUAAGUGAGCAUUAUUUGAAGCUGCUAAGUUUGUGGUGAUUUGUUACACAUCAAGAGAAAACAUAUGCUGUAUAUAUUAUUAGAUUUUUCCUUUAUAUUGGUGGGUGUAUUUGUUAUCUAUUACUUCCUAACAAAUCGACAAUAAUUAAGUGUCUUAAGACAACACAUAUUUAUUACCUCAUAGUUUCUGUGGGUCAGAAAUCUGGGCAUGGUUUAUGUGAGUUCUUUGAUUUAAAGUUGUUGGCAAAUCUGUAAACAAGGAAGCAGUCAGGACCGAGGUCUCAUCUGAAAGUCAACUUGGGAUGGGUCUGCUUCCAGCCUCACUUAACAUAACAGCUGGCAGGAUUCAGUUGCUCUUGGGUAGUUGGAUUGAUGGCCUCAGAUAACUAGGUAGCUAUUAGCUAGAUUUCACCCUCAGUUUGUUGCCGUGUGGGCCUCCCUAAGGUGGCAAUUUACUUCAUCAAAACCAGCAAGGGAGAGAGUUGGCUACAAUCUCUAGUAAUGUAGCUACAGAAAUGACAUCCCCUUAGCAAUGAGAUAUUUUAUUAAUUAGAAAGAAAUUACUCAACAGGAGGGGAUUACACAAUGUAGUGAAUACCAGGAGGCUGAGAUCAGAAGGAGCUAGUGUAGAAGCUGCCUACCACAGUGAGUAGUAUUCUAUUACAUGAAUAUACCAGAAUGUCUGAAUCCACCCAACUGGGCAUAGACGUUUGUGUUCAUUCAAGAUACAGACUAUUAUUAUUUUAAAAAUAAAAGUUACUAUGAACAUUUAAGUAUAAGCUUUUGUGUGGGCGUGUUUCAUUUGUUUUGAAUGAAAUUGCAGGGUCGCAUAGAAAAUGCAUAUUUAAUCUUAUAAGAAGCUGCUUAAAAUGCUUUGCAAUGUGAUUUUACCAUUUUACACUCCCAACAAUGUAUAGCAAUAUAUCAUAGAUCUAGUGGUUUCAUAUCUCCACAAACACUUGAUAUUGUCACUCAGUUUAAUUGUAGCUACUUAAAUAGGCUUAUAAUGGUACUCGUUAUGAUUUUAAUAUGCAUUUCCCUAAUGCCUAUUAGGGACUAAUUAUGUUAAGCAUCUUUUCAUGUAUUUGGAGGCCAUUUGUGUACCUUCAUUUGUAAAAUAUCUGUUUAAGUAGCUUGCCCAUUUGGAUUGCUUUACAUUUUAUUAUAGAGUCAUAAGCAUCCUUUAUAUAUUCUGAAUAUAACUCUUUUAUCAGACAUACAUAUAUAUCAAAUAUUUUUUUCUAAGUUUGUGGUUUGUGUUUUUACUUUUUAUACUGUUUAUUGAAUAGUAGAUUUUAUAUUCAUUUUAUCCAUUCUGUUAUGAUCGAUAUUUUUUGAACUAUGAAAAUAUUGCUAUGUAAAAAUAAAAAAUAUAUUUUCAUCCCGAGUUUCAUAAUUUUAGCUUUCACUCUUAUAUCUGUGAUUCAUUCUGAGUUUUCUUGUAUAGUUUAAAGUCAGAGUGGGUGUUUGUUUGCUUAUUAAUAUAUUUAUAGAUAUUUCUAAUUCUUUCUAGCACCAUUUAUUAAAAAGUCUCUUUUUUUACCCAUUGAAUUAUUUUUUUUAAAUUGUUAUGUCUAAAAUCAAAUUACCAAAUACACAUUGUCUAUUUUGAACUAUUUAUUCUGUUUCAUUGAUUUUUAUGUGUUCCUUUACACCAAUAUCAUUGUCUUAAUUACUGUAGAUUUGUUGGAAAUAUGGGAGUCAAAUUUAAGGAUUUCAAUUUUGUCCUUUUAUCAAGUUGUUUUGGCUGUUCUAGGUCCUUUGCAUUUCCCUAUAACAUUUGGAAUUAGGUUGUCAAUAUUUCCCCAGAAUAAAGCCUGCUGGGAUUUUGAACAGGAUUGCAUGGAAUCUAUAAAUCAAUUUAGUGAGAAUUAAUAACAUAUUAAGUACUCUAAUUGAUGAACAUAGUAUCAUCUUCCAUUUAUUUAGUCUUUGACUUCUCGGAAAUGUUUUAUAGUUUUCAGUGUGUAGGUCUUGAAGUUUGUAAAAUUCUAAGUGUUUUAUGGUUUUGACUGUAAUUGUAAAUACCUCCCAUUGUUCAUUGUUAGUACAUAGAAAUAAAAUAAAUUUUGUAUUAAUUUGUCUCAUGCAAUCUUCUAUACUCACUUCUUUCCAAUAGUUUUAUGUGGAAUUCUUAG
rnacentral:lncRNA from 10 species